CCCUGACAGCAGAGAGCCCGUCGAGGGGCUUGAACUCACGAAAAGUGAGAUCAUGACCUGAACUGAAGCUGGAUGCUUAGCCAACUGAGCCACCCAGGUGCCCCUGGGCAGAACAUUUCUAAGGAGAGAAUGAUGAGAGUCCCACAAAGCCAUGCCUCUGCCUUUUGCCUGGGGAGAAGGGCUUCCUAAGACUGCUGGAGAGCUUGGCUUCCCACGGGUGCAGCUUUCAGAUGGUGGAGGGGAGCAGCUCCGGCUUCGGAUGAACUUCGGAAUCUGGGCACUUUUUCCUAACUAGACACCGUAAUUCCUGAAAGCGGAUUUUUGUCGUGAACGUGACCCCAAGGCAUUUUUCUUGUUUCGGACUGACCUCCAAAAACACCCCAGGUGCGGCGGUCGGGGGAGAACCAACUUCACUGAGCAGGUUUGGAAAGGAAGCGGGGAAGAAAGGACUCAGUUGUUUUCUGACAGUAUCCCACAAGCCUCUCUUGCUCAGCAACCCUGGUGCACAAGCAGCAGGAAGAAUUCUAGAAUUCUAGCUCAUUGAGCCAGAUGGGGAUUUAUCGACAGGAUGCUGGGUGGCUUAGAGAAUCACUGGGCGGCUGGAGAGACUGCUUCAGUAAUUGGGAGGUGACGCGGUGACCGCGGUUGAAGGUUGGCCGUGGAACCACGGAGAGGAUGCCACCACCUCUGCCCACGGAUGCUGGGUGAUGUGCUGGCCACUGUCCCCCAUCCCGCACAUUUCUAGCAGUUAUAAAAAGAGGCAGCGGCUGUCUCCAUCAGCGCUCCGUUGGAGGGAAGACCUCAAAUACAGGAACAUGGUUCUGGCGCUGGGCCCUGGGGGAGGGGGGAACGGAAUUGAUAGUUACCAAAAGGGUGAGCCUUUAAUCGAUGGAGCUUGUAAGCGAAGUAAUGGCUGAGUUUACCCUGCAAAUGACCAAAAUUACAUUUUUCCACCACCAGGAUAAACGGGGACUUGAAAACUAGAUUGUUAUACAAAACAGAUUAUUAUGGGAAAAUAAAAGUACCUUUCUGCA